rnacentral:rRNA from 1 species
UACGGAAGGUCCGGGCGUUAUCCGGAUUUAUUGGGUUUAAAGGGAGCGCAGGCGGGAGCUUAAGCGUGACGUGAAAUGUAGCCGCUCAACGGCUGAACUGCGUCGCGAACUGGGUUUCUUGAGUGGGUACGACGUCAGCGGAAUUCGUGGUGUAGCGGUGAAAUGCUUAGAUAUCACGAAGAACCCCGAUUGCGAAGGCAGCUGACGAGUCCUCUACUGACGCUAAAGCUCGAAGGUGCGGGUAU